UGCACGCUCCUCUGGGGACCGGCCGGAGCCGCGCGUUUAAGCUCAGCGACCUUAUCUCUGAUACCUCAGCCGCCUGGCCUGAAGCGAAGCUGUCUUGUCGGGGAAGAGAGUGGUCACGGUGUCGCGGGGUAACAAAGCUUAGGACAGGAGAACCUACAUGAGAAAGGACGUCCUCCGGUGUCUAGAAAUUGGGAAGUCGAAGAUUAAGGUUCCAGCCUAAUCUGUUCCCUGUCCAGGACCCUUUUCCUGUCUUGCAGAAGGUCUCCCAUCAGGAUAAAGCAGCAUUUGUCAUGCACAUACCGCCCUGUGCAGAAGUGAGGGAAGACUGCUGCA